GUGUUAUUAAAACUUGCUGUUAAAAAAUGAUAGAAAUUAUUAUAAAUUAAGGAAUGUAUCUCCCUCAUGCAAAGCUCUGAUUCCUUUCACGGAUUUGGCUAUACUUUUUGAACCUUUUGGAUUAUAGCUCUUCAUCUUUUAUAUAAGCUUUGGAUUUCAAAUAUUUUGGCCACGAGCAUCACUGAAGAGACAUGUAUUGUCGAAAUGCGCAUCUG
rnacentral:lncRNA from 1 species